rnacentral:rRNA from 1 species
AUUGAACGCUGGCGGCAUGCUUUACACAUGCAAGUCGAACGGCAGCGCGGGCUUCGGCCUGGCGGCGAGUGGCGAACGGGUGAGUAAUGCAUCGGAACGUGCCCAGUCGUGGGGGAUAGCCCGGCGAAAGCCGGCUUAAUACCGCAUACGACCUGAGGGUGAAAGCGGGGGACCGAAAGGCCUCGCGCUAUUGGAGCGGCCGAUGUCGGAUUAGCUGGUUGGUGGGGUAAAGGCUUACCAAGGCGACGAUCCGUAGCUGGUCUGAGAGGACGACCAGCCACACUGGGACUGAGACACGGCACAGACUCCUACGGGAGGCAGCAGUGGGGAAGUGUGGACAAUGGGGGCAACCCUGAUCCAGCCAUGCCGCGUGCAGGAAGAAGGCCUGCGGGUUGUAAACCGCUUUUGUUCGGGAAGAAAGCCUCUGGGCUAAUACCCCGGUGGGAUGACGGUACCGGAAGAAUAAGCACCGGCUAACUACGUG